GACGAACCGUGCGAACGUUGUUCGGAAUCACUGGGCUUAAAGGGCGCGUAGGCGGGCGGUCAAGUCUGUGGUGAAAUCCUUCGGCUCAACCGUGGAACUGCUUGGUAUACUGCGGGUCUUGAGCCACCUAGGGGCAAGUGGAACAAACGGUGGAGCGGUGAAAUGCGCAGAUAUCAGGAGGAACACCAAUGGCGAAGGCAGCUCGCUGGGACGGUACUGACGCUGAGGCGCGAAAGCGUGGGGAGCAAACAGG
rnacentral:rRNA from 1 species